GACGAACGCUGGCGGCGUGCUUAACACAUGCCAGUCGAACGGAAAGGCCUGCUUUCCCUUGUGGAUUGCGGGUACUCGAGUGGCUAACGGGUGAGUAACACGUGAGUGAUCUGCCCCCAACUUGGGUAUAAGCCUGGGAAACUGGGUCUAAUUCCCGAUAGGACUGCAGGGUGGUGCCUGUGGUGGAAAACGAUUUUCUAGUGGUUGGGGAUGAGCUCGCGGCCUAUCAGCUUGUUGGUGGGGUAAUGGCCUACCAAGGCGGCGACGGGUAGCCGGCCUGAGAGGGGGGACGGCGACAUUGGGACUGGGAUACGGCCCAGACUCCUACGGGAGGCAGCAGUGAGGAAUAUUGCACAAUGGGCGGAAGCCUGAUGCAGCGACGCCGCGUGGGGGAUGACGGCCUUCGGGUUGUAAACUCCUUUCGACCGCGAGGAAGCCACCUGGUUGGAAGGGUGGUGACGGUAGUGGUAGAAGAAGCACCGGCUAACUACGUG
rnacentral:rRNA from 1 species